rnacentral:rRNA from 1 species
AGAGGGUGCGAACGUUGCUCGGAUUUACUGGGCGUAAAGCGCGUGUAGGCGGACUCGCAAGUCGGUUGUGAAAUCCCUGGGCUCAACCUAGGAACUGCAUCCGAAACUGCUUGUCUUGAGUAAUGGAGAGGGUGGCGGAAUUCCCGGUGUAGAGGUGAAAUUCGUAGAUAUCGGGAGGAACAUCAGUGGCGAAGGCGGCCACCUGGACAUUUACUGACGCUGAGACGCGAAAGCGUGGGGAGCAAACAGGAUUAGAUACCCUGGUAGUCCACGCCGUAAACGAUGAGAACUAGGUGCAGCGGAUAUUGACCUCUGCUGUGCCGUAGCUAACGCGUUAAGUUCUCCGCCUGGGAGUACGGCCGCAAGGCUA